rnacentral:rRNA from 1 species
AGCAGCCGCGGUAAUUCCAGCUCCAAUAGCGUAUAUUAAAGUUGUUGCAGUUAAAAAGCUCGUAGUUGAAUUUCAGGCCUGGCUGGGCGGUCCGCCUUUUGGGUGAGUACUGCCUGUGGUCGGAUCCUACCUUCUGGCGAAGCGUCAUGGCCUUAACCGGCCGUGGCGGGGAACCAGGACUUUUACUGUGAAAAAAUUAGAGUGUUCAAAGCAGGCAUUCGCUUGAAUACAUUAGCAUGGAAUAAUGGAAUAGGACAGUGGUUCUAUUUGUUGGUUUCUAGGACCGUUGUAAUGAUUAAUAGGGAUAGUUGGGGGCAUUAGUAUUCAAUUGUCAGAGGUGAAAUUCUUGGAUUUAUUGAAGACUAACUACUGCGAAAGCAUUUGCCAAGGAUGUUUUCAUUAAUCAAGAACGAAAGUUAGAGGAUCGAAGACGAUCAGAUACCGUCGUAG